UGGGGAACCUGCCCCAUAGUCUGGGAUACCACUUGGAAACAGGUGCUAAUACCGGAUAAGAAAGCAGAUCGCAUGAUCAGCUUUUAAAAGGCGGCGUAAGCUGUCGCUAUGGGAUGGCCCCGCGGUGCAUUAGCUAGUUGGUAAGGUAAAGGCUUACCAGGGCGAUGAUGCAUAGCCGAGUUGAGAGACUGAUGGCCACAUUGGGACUGAGACACGGCCCAAACUCCUACGGGAGGCAGCAGGA
rnacentral:rRNA from 1 species